CGCCGUAGUGAGCCCCCCCCCCCAACACCAACAAACAUCAUCUCCACACACACACAGCGCUUGGAGAGGGGGGCACUUGAGUCGGAUGUCUCGACGGGCGGAGAUUCUAGAAGAUCUCCGCGAGGAGUGAUGUGCUUGGAGGAAGCUGCACGAUGGUGGCAGCUGCCGCGCCCGGAGAUCGAACCCGGCAAAGUCACUGCUGACCAAUUGGCCUACAACAGAGACAGCCUUCUUCUUCGUGGCCUUGUCUCCCGCCACCAGUGUCCGACCAAAGAACAUCAACAGGCGAACAAGCACAAAGACAAUCAAUGCACGUAUCGGAUCAUUUAUAGCUCGUGGCCACCUCAAGCUAUCGCCAUCCCUCAGUCCUGCAUUGCUGCUGUAGUCCCAUCUUGUUCCGGCACAGGAGCUGACCUCAUCGCUCCAUGGGUUAAGAUACGCGGUAAAGGCAAAGCGUGCCGAUAAUUCCGUCGCCGACAACGGGGCAAAGGGCCAGCACGCCGAGACUCGGCGCGCUGAGCUUCCGCCAUUUCAUCAAGAUGCAAAUCCGUAGAUAUGGCGACGUGAGAGGCGGCUAAUCCCCCCC